rnacentral:rRNA from 1 species
AGAGUUUGAUCAUGGCUCAGGAUGAACGCUAGCGGCAGGCUUAACACAUGCAAGUCGAGGGGCAGCGCGGGAUAGCAAUAUCCUGGCGGCGACCGGCGGAAGGGUGCGUAACGCGUGAGCGACAUGCCCGUUGCCCGGGGACAACCGGUGGAAACGCCGACUAAUCCCCGAUGGGAUACGAUGCUUCAUGGCAUUGUAUUGAAAGUUACGGCGGCGACGGAUUGGCUCGCGUCCGAUUAGCUUGUUGGCGGGGUAACGGCCCACCAAGGCUACGAUCGGUAGGGGUUCUGAGAGGAAGGCCCCCCACAAUGGGACUGAGACACGGCCCAUACUCCUACGGGAGGCAGCAGUGAGGAAUAUUGGUCAAUGGGCGGAAGCCUGAACCAGCCAUGCCGCGUGCGGGAAGGAGGCCCUAUGGGCUGUGAACCGCUUUUGCCUGGGGGCAAUAAGGGCGUCGCGCACGUCCGAUGAGAGUACCAGGCGAAUAAGCAUCGGCUAACUCCGUGCCAGCAGCCGCGGUAAUACGGGGGAUGCGAGCGUUAUCCGGAUUCAUUGGGUUUAAAGGGUGCGUAGGCUGUGCGUCAAGUCGGGGGUGAAAUUCCGGUGCUCAACACCGGGGCUGCCCUUGAUACUGUCGCGCUGGAGUGCGGAUGCCGCCGGAGGAAUGUGUGGUGUAGCGGUGAAAUGCUUAGAUAUCACUCAGAACACCGAUUGCGAAGGCAUCUGGCGAAUCCGUAACUGACGCUGAGGCACGAAAGCGUGGGGAUAGAACAGGAUUAGAUACCCUGGUAUUCCACGCCGUAAACGAUGAUGGCUAACCGCCGGCGACACACUGUCGGUGGCCAAGCGAAAGCGAUAAGCCAUCCACCUGGGGAGUACGUCGGCAACGAUGAAACUCAAAGGAAUUGACGGGGGCCCGCACAAGCGGAGGAGCAUGUGGUUUAAUUCGAAGCAACGCGAAGAACCUUACCAAGUCUUGACAUCCUUCCGACCGGUACUUAAUCGUACUUUCUCUUCGGAGCAGGAGUGACAGGUGGUGCAUGGUUGUCGUCAGCUCGUGUCGUGAGAUGUUGGGUUAAGUCCCGCAACGAGCGCAACCCUUAUCUUUAGUAGCCAGCGGUUCGGCCGGGCACUCUAGAGAGACUGCCAGGGAUAACCUGGAGGAAGGCGGGGAUGACGUCAAAUCAUCAUGCCCCUUAUGACUUGGGCUACACACGUGCUACAAUGGCGUAAACAAAGGGAAGCAAAGCUGUGAAGCCGAGCAAAUCUCAAAAAUAACGUCUCAGUUCGGACUGUAGUCUGCAACCCGACU